rnacentral:rRNA from 1 species
GAGUGAUCGAAAGAUGAAAAGCACUUUGAAAAGAGAGUUAAACAGCACGUGAAAUUGUUGAAAGGGAAGCGUUUGCGACCAGACUCGCCCGCGGGGUUCAGCCGGCACUCGUGCCGGUGUACUUCCCCGUGGGCGGGCCAGCGUCGGUUUGGGCGGCCGGUCAAAGGCCCUCGGAAUGUAUCACCUCUCGGGGUGUCUUAUAGCCGAGGGUGCAAUGCGGCCUGCCCGGACCGAGGAACGCGCUUCGGYCGGAC